AUUGAACGCUAGCGGCAUGCCUUACACAUGCAAGUCGAACGGAGUGGCGAACGGGUGAGUAAUGUCUCGGAACGUGCCCAGUAGCGGGGGAUAACUACGCGAAAGCGUAGCUAAUACCGCAUACUAUUGGCUCGGCCGAUGUCGGAUUAGCUAGUUGGUGGGGUAACGGCUCACCAAGGCGACGAUCCGUAGCUGGUUUGAGAGGACGACCAGCCACACUGGAACUGAGACACGGCCCAGACUCCUACGGGAGGCAGCAGUGGGGAAUAUUGGACAAUGGGGGAAAGCCUGAUCCAGCCAUGCCGCGUGUGCGAAGAAGGCCUUCGGGUUGUAAAGCACUUUAAGCGGGGAAGCGUUACCAGCAGAAUAAGCACCGGCUAACUACGUGCCAGCAGCCGCGGUAAUAC
rnacentral:rRNA from 1 species